rnacentral:rRNA from 1 species
GAUGAACGCUGGCGGCGUGCCUAAUACAUGCAAGUCGAGCGAACAGACGAGGAGCUUGCUCCUCUGACGUUAGCGGCGGACGGGUGAGUAACACGUGGAUAACCUACCUAUAAGACUGGGAUAACUUCGGGAAACCGGAGCUAAUACCGGAUAAUAUAUUGAACCGCAUGGUUCAAUAGUGAAAGACGGUUUUGCUGUCACUUAUAGAUGGAUCCGCGCCGCAUUAGCUAGUUGGUAAGGUAACGGCUUACCAAGGCAACGAUGCGUAGCCGACCUGAGAGGGUGAGAGGUCACACUGGAACCUGGCCACGGUCCAGACGCCUACGGGAGGCAGCAGUAGGGACUCUUAGGCAAUGGGCGAAAGCCUGACGGAGCAACGCCGCGUGAGUGAUGAAGGUCUUCGGACCUCAAAACUCUGUGAUUAGGGAAGAACAAAUGUGUAAGUAACGACGAACGUCUUGACGGUACCUAAUCAGAAAGCCACGGCUAACUACGUG